rnacentral:tRNA from 1 species
GGCAAGGUAGUUUAUGAAAAAUGUUUGUUUUACACGCAAAAGUUGAAUAUUUUCUAUUGUCA